rnacentral:rRNA from 1 species
UCAAGCAAGCAAGGGCAAACGGUGGAUGCCUUGGCGCCAGGAGGCGAUGAAGGACGUGGCUAGCUGCGAAAAGCCUCGGGGAGCUGCUAAGCAAGCUUUGAUCCGGGGAUUUCCGAAUGGGGAAACCCGUCCGGGGUCAUGCCCGGUCAUCCGGCUCUGAAUUCAUAGGAGCCGGAGGCAAACCCGGGGAACUGAAACAUCUCAGUACCCGGUGGAAUGGAAAUCAACUGAGACUCCCCUAGUAGCGGCGAGCGAACGGGGACCAUGCCUAAACCGGUGGGAAGCAAUUCCUACCGGGGUUGUGGGACUCCAACAUGGGAUCUGGAAGGGUAGGAGAACGGUCUGGAAAGGCCGGCCAGAGAGGGUGACAGCCCUGUAUCCGAAACCUCGAAGGACCCUAGGAGAUUCCCGAGUACCACGGGGCACGUGAAACCCUGUGGGAAUCUGGGUGGACCAUCAUCCAAGGCUAAGUACUACCUGGCGACCGAUAGUGAACCAGUACCGUGAGGGAAAGGCGAAAAGAACCCCGGCGAGGGGAGUGAAAUAGACCCUGAAACCGUUUGCCUACAUUCAGUAGGAGCUCUAUGGCCGAUCUUCGGAUCGGCAACGAGUGACUGCGUACCUUUUGUUUAAUGGGUCCGCGAGUUACUCCUCGGCAGCAAGGUUAAGCCGUGAGGUGUAGCCGUAGCGAAAGCAAGUCUGAACAGGGCGUUCAGUUGCCGGGGGUAGACCCGAAACCGAGUGAUCUAUCCAUGGCCAGGUUGAAGCUCGGGUAAGACCGAGUGGAGGACCGAACGGUAGAAGGUUGAAGACUUCGCGGAUGGGCGGUGGAUAGGGGUGAAAGGCCAAUCAAACUCGGAGAUAGCUGGUUCUCCCCGAAAUAUAUUGAGGUAUAGCCUUGCGUAUCACCACCGGAGGUAGAGCACUGGAUGGGCUAGGGGUCCUACCAGAUUACCGAACCCAACCAAACUCCGAAUACCGGUGAGUGCAGCGUGGGAGUCAGACUGCGGGCGAUAAGGUUCGUGGUCGAGAGGGAAACAGCCCAGACCGCCAGCUAAGGUCCCGAAAUCCGUGCUAAGUGGGAAAGGAUGUGGGAGCGCUUAGACAGCCAGGAGGUUGGCUUAGAAGCAGCCACCCUUUAAAAAGUGCGUAAUAGCUUACUGGUCUAGUGAGCCUGCGCCGAAAAUGUAACGGGGCUUAAGCACGGUACCGAAGCUGCGGGAUUACAAUGCCUUCGGGCAUUGCAAUCGGUAGGGGAGCGUUCCAGUAGCCUGUGAAGCUCGACGGAAACGACGAGUGGAGGUCCUGGAAGUGCUUAUGCGGACAUGAGUAGCGAUAAACAGGGUGAGAAACCCUGUCGCCGUAAGCCUGAGGGUUCCUGAGUAAAGCUAAUCUGCUCAGGGUUAGUCGAUCCCUAAGCCGAGGCCGAAAGGCGUAGGUAAUGGAAAACAGGUUAAUAUUCCUGUACCACCGGGUUAUCAAUAUCCUUUCGGGGAUGAGAGUGAUUGGGGGGACGCAAAAGGGUAGAUCAGCCAUCUGUUGGAUUAGGUGGUUCAAGCUCGUAGGCUGAAAGAACAGGAAAAUCCAUUCUUUCAUAAAAGCUGAGAAGUGAUGAGGAUCCCGUUUUCGGGAACAAACUGAUCGAUCCCAUGUUGCCAAGAAAAGCCUCUAGCGAGAUAACCAGGUGAUCGUACCACAAACCGACACAGGUAGGCAGGGAGAGAAUCCCAAGGCGCUUGAGAGAACCCUGGUUAAGGAACUCGGCAAAAUAACACCGUAACUUAGGGAGAAGGUGUGCCCUCAUUAGGUGAAGCAACUUGCUUGUGGAGCUGAGGAGGGUCGCAGAGAAAUGGCGGUAGCGACUGUUUACUAAAAACAUAGGACUCUGCUAAGUCGUAAGACGAUGUAUAGGGUCUGACGCCUGCCCGGUGCCGGAAGGUUAAGGGAACCUGUCAGGACUUCGGUCCGAAGCAGUGAACCGAAGCCCCGGUAAACGGCGGCCGUAACUAUAACGGUCCUAAGGUAGCGAAAUUCCUUGUCGGGUAAGUUCCGACCUGCACGAAUGGCGAAACGCUGGCCGCACUGUCUCGACCAGGGACUCAGUGAAAUUGUAAUACCGGUGAAGAUGCCGGUUACCCGCGACAGGACGGAAAG